rnacentral:rRNA from 1 species
CAGCACGGGUGCUUGCACCUGGUGGCGAGUGGCGAACGGGUGAGUAAUGCGUCGGAACGUACCGAGUAAUGGGGGAUAACGCAGCGAAAGUUGUGCUAAUACCGCAUACGCCCUGAGGGGGAAAGUGGGGGACCGCAAGGCCUCACGUUAUUCGAGCGGCCGACGUCUGAUUAGCUAGUUGGUGGGGUAAAGGCCUACCAAGGCGACGAUCAGUAGCGGGUCUGAGAGGAUGAUCCGCCACACUGGGACUGAGACACGGCCCAGACUCCUACGGGAGGCAGCAGUGGGGAAUUUUGGACAAUGGGGGCAACCCUGAUCCAGCCAUUCCGCGUGAGUGAAGAAGGCCUUCGGGUUGUAAAGCUCUUUCAGCUGGAACGAAACGGUGCGCUCUAACAUAGCGUGCUAAUGACGGUACCAGCAGAAGAAGCACCGGCUAACUACGUGCCAGCAGCCGCGGUAAUACGUAGGGUGCGGGCGUUAAUCGGAAUUACUGGGCGUAAAGCGUGCGCAGGCGGAUUGUUAAGCAAGAUGUGAAAUCCCCGGGCUUAACCUGGGAAUGGCAUUUUGAACUGGCAGUCUAGAGUGCGCCAGAGGGGGGUGGAAUUCCACGUGUAGCAGUGAAAUGCGUAGAGAUGUGGAGGAACACCGAUGGCGAAGGCAGCCCCCUGUGAUGACACUGACGCUCAUGUACGAAAGCGUGGGUAGCAAACAGGAUUAGAUACCCUGGUAGUCCACGCCCUAAACGAUGUCAACUGGUUGUUGGGGGAGUGAAAUCCC